rnacentral:lncRNA from 1 species
CACAGGAAGAGAACAUUCAAGGGAUGCCUCAGCUCGAGCAGAUACCAAUUAUCUCCUGAGUCAACACCCGGAGUCUCCACCGCCUGAUCUCUUUGCCUCCUGCUAUCUCUGCCUAUACCCUCAUCCCUCCAUCCUUCGUGUUUCACAAAGGACACUCCCCCUACCUGAAAGCCUUAAAAGCUGUAACUUUCACCCCAAUAAACAAGAUCUUGACAACAGAA